rnacentral:ncRNA from 2 species
GGAUGCCACUAGGGGAGCGCUUGCUGAGACGGAGUGCGGCUCCGGACCCUUAGCACCUGAUCUGGGUAAUACCAGCGUAGGAAAGUGGCUCGCUGCGCGG